CGUACGGAGAAGUGGGGAUGACGUCAAAUCAUCAUGCCCCUUAUGACCUGGGCUACACACGUGCUACAAUGGGCGGUACAAAGGGCUGCGAACCCGCGAGGGGGAGCGAAUCCCAAAAAGCCGCUACUCAGUUCGGAUUGCAGGCCGCAACUCGCCUGCAUGAAGCCGGAAUCGCUAGUAAUCGCGGAUCAGCAUGCCGCGGUGAAUACGUUCCCGGGCCUU
rnacentral:rRNA from 1 species